CUUGAUACAGAGUUCUAUAGUUUGUUAAAAGUAUUAAGUUCCUUCAUGGCUUGUUGUAUGUCAUAGAAAGGAAAUAAACAAAAGUAUUUUUAUUUAGACAUGGAUUUGGCAGUUAAAAUUGCCGAGUGUCAGACAAUAGCUGAAUUAUCAACCUUGGAAAGGCUAUAUUUGUUGAAUGAAGUGGAACAACGCAUUCUUUUCGAGAGGAAAUUGGAAAUUUUUCGUCGAAUAACGGAAUGGAGAGUAGAAAAUGAGCAGCUAGGGCUUACGGCUGACUUUACG